AGGGGCCGUAGCUCAGCUGGGA
rnacentral:tRNA from 1 species